ACGCUGGCGGCAGGCCUAAGACAUGCAAGUCGAGCGAGAAAGCCCUUCGGGGUGAGUACAGCGGCGGACGGGUGAGUAACGCGUAGGAAUCUACCCAGUAGUGGGGGACAACUAGUGGAAACGCUAGCUAAUACCGCAUACGCCCUAAGGGGGAAAGCGGGGGAUCUUCGGACCUCGUGCUAUUGGAUGAGCCUGCGUAAGAUUAGCUUGUUGGUGAGGUAAUGGCUCACCAAGGCUACGAUCUUUAGCUGGUCUGAGAGGAUGAUCAGCCACACCGGGACUGAGACACGGCCCGGACUCCUACGGGAGGCAGCAGUCGGGAAUAUUGCGCAAUGGGGGAAACCCUGACGCAGCCAUGCCGCGUGUGUGAAGAAGGCCCUAGGGUUGUAAAGCACUUUCAAUUGGGAGGAAAAGCUAAUGGUUAAUAACCAUUAGCCCUGACGUUACCUUUAGAAGAAGCACCGGCUAACUCCGUGCCAGCAGCCGCGGUAAUACGGAGGGUGCAAGCGUUAAUCGGAAUUACUGGGCGUAAAGCGCGCGUAGGCGGUUUUUUAAGUCGAAUGUGAAAGCCCCGGGCUCAACCUGGGAACUGCAUCCGAUACUGGAUGACUAGAAUGCGGGAGAGGGAGGUAGAAUUCCAUGUGUAGCAGUGAAAUGCGUAGAUAUAUGGAGGAAUACCAGUGGCGAAGGCGGCCUCCUGGCUCGACAUUGACGCUGAGGUGCGAAAGCGUGGGGAGCAAACGGGAUUAGAUACCCCGGUAGUCCACGCCGUAAACGAUGUCUACUAGCUGUAGGGGUACUUGAGACCUUUGUAGCGCAGCUAACGCCAUAAGUAGACCGCCUGGGGAGUACGGCCACCCGGUUAAUACUUCAAAUGGA
rnacentral:rRNA from 1 species